rnacentral:rRNA from 1 species
CCUACGGGUGGCAGCAGUGGGGAAUAUUGGACAAUGGGGGCAACCCUGAUCCAGCUAUGCCGCGUGUGUGAAGAAGGCCCUCGGGUUGUAAAGCACUUUCAGUGAGGAAGAACGCCUGGUGGUUAAUACCCAUCAGGAAAGACAUCACUCACAGAAGAAGCACCGGCUAACUCCGUGCCAGCAGCCGCGGUAAUACGGAGGGUGCGAGCGUUAAUCGGAAUUACUGGGCGUAAAGCGCGCGUAGGUGGCUUGAUAAGCCGGUUGUGAAAGCCCCGGGCUCAACCUGGGAACGGCAUCCGGAACUGUCAAGCUAGAGUGCAGGAGAGGAAGGUAGAAUUCCCGGUGUAGCGGUGAAAUGCGUAGAGAUCGGGAGGAAUACCAGUGGCGAAGGCGGCCUUCUGGACUGACACUGACACUGAGGUGCGAAAGCGUGGGUAGCAAACAGGAUUAGAUACCCGAGUAGUC